rnacentral:rRNA from 1 species
AGUUCGGACUGGAGUCUGCAACCCGACUCCACGAAGUUGGAUUCGCUAGUAAUCGCGCAUCAGCCAUGGCGCGGUGAAUACGUUCCCGGGCCUUGUACACACCGCCCGUCAAGCCAUGGGAGCCGGGGCGCCUGAAGUCCGGGACCGCGAGGACCGGCCUAGGGCGAAACUGGUGACUGGGCUAAGUCGUAACAAGGUAAC